GUCUUUCCUGUUCUUUUCCGCCUUUCCUUAUUGGAUAAAAGAAAAGUCGGUGGCGACUCUUGCUAUCCGCGACAUUGCUUUCCAAAGCAAAACAUAAAAGUUAGUUCACCGUAUAACAGAACUGGCGACUCUGCUGGGGACUUUAAAAGAGAGGUUACCUUAAAAAAAAAAUAAAAAAAAAUAAGGUCAUUUAUGUUUUCGAAUUGUUCCUGCGUCUGAUUUUCUUUAAGGGAUUAUUUGGGUAUUAUAUGCUUGAGUGAAAGAUCCUACACCCGGAUCUAGUGUACCUUAGGUAAGUCGCAAGAGAUCAUCGCGACUGUCCGGCGUAUACUGGAAUGGUUAAAGUGAU
rnacentral:lncRNA from 1 species